GACGGGGCAGGUUCAGGCCCCUCCCAUCAGGCGGCCAGCGCGAGCGGUAGAGGCGGGUCUGGAGGCGGGGCCUGCGUGGAGCCAGACGGCGCGGCUGCUGCCGGGGGCGGGGCCGACGGGCUGUGGCCCCGCCCUUGGCCGCCAUUGCCGGGUCUGCCUGGCCGCUCUGCGCAGCGACCUUGCCUCCUCUUGCCGGGCGGAGCGGCUCAGCGGGCCUGACAGGGAGCCUUCCUGACCGAGCCCACGUCUCCCCACGGCCAGACAAGUCUCCGGCCCGGCCCGCGUCGCCAGUCCCCAGGCUUGGAGGAACGGCCCGAGCCCAGGAGAACCACCUCUACGUCCCAGCCCCGGAGGCUCCUGUGGGCAAGAUCGUGAGCCAACGGGUUCCUGAGGCCCCUCCCGGCCAGGCAGGGUUUCUCCGCGCGUUUCCGAGGAGCCCUGCCUGGCCGGGCGGCUGGACAAACAGGUCGUAGCACCGAUCGCGCCCGCCCCCAGCAGGGGUCCUGCACAGGCUUGUCCCUGACCCCCACCCAAACCCGUUCUUCCGCUUUCCCCCCAAACAGUGCACUUGCCGGCGGUCCCAACCCAGCAGGAGGAGAGUGGACAUGAGGUUGGCAGGUGGGUGGCUUCCGCAGCGAACGGGAGGGAGUUGAAAAGGGCACCUGGAUGGAGGCCCAGCGUUCCGACAUCUGUGUCUGGAGAGGCGCGGGUGGACCACUGGGUUUGGUUUUGGAAAUUUCGGAGGACUCUGUACAAACACUCAUUCCUUGACCUUAAGCAAAUCCUUUCACCUCUGAGGACAUCAGCUCCCCGAGAUAUGACAGGAGGAUUAGUAUAGUCAGUAUCUCCCAAUGCAGGUAGUAGACCAGCUGCUUUUUGGAAAAUGAGCGGUGAGAGAGAGGAGGUGAGGAGUCCAGGUGGAGAGGCGUGAUCUUAGAGGGGAAGUGACAAAAGUGGCUGUGGGCUUCAACAUGAACCCGAUGACAGCCCUACUGUCACCUGGACAACUAAGAUGAAGAUCCUUGGGGAGGGAUAGGUUGGGGCGGGGUGGAGAGUGGAAAGAACUCAGGAAUUGAACUUCAGACUUGCUAAGGUGGUAACUUUGUGGACAUAUCCAAGUGGAGCUGGCCAGUGAGGAACCAGCUGGCAGGGAGUGGUUUCAAGAGAGGCCACAGCUGGAACUAGAAAAUAGGAAGUCAUUGACACAUGGUGGUUAAUUAAACAGCUGGGAAUAGAUGACAUCAUCUAAAAAGACACUACAGGCUGGGCGCGGUGACUCACAUCUGUAAUCCCAGCAGUUUGGGAGGCCGAGGCGGGCAGAUCACUUGAAGUCAGGAGUUUGAGACCAGCCUGGCCAACAUGGUGAAUCCCCAUCUCUACUUAAAAAAUACAAAAAAAUUAGCGGGGCGUGGUGGUGGGUGCUUGUAAUCCCAGCUACCCGGGAGGCUGAGGUUGCAGUGAGCCGAGAUUGUGCCACUGCACACUCCAGCCUGGGCGACAGAGCGAGACUCCGUCUCAAAAAAAUAAAAAUAAAAAGACAACUGGGCGCA
ensembl:lncRNA